GAUUAUGGCUCAGGAUGAACGCUGGCGGCGUGCUUAACACAUGCAAGUCGAACGGAGUUUAGAUGAAAGCUUGCUUUGACUAAACUUAGUGGCGGACGGGUGAGUAACGCGUGGGUAACCUGCCUUAUACAGGGGGAUAACAGUCGGAAACGACUGCUAAUACCGCAUAAGCGCACGGAAUCGCAUGAUUCAGUGUGAAAAAGAUUUAUCGGUAUAAGAUGGACCCGCGUCUGAUUAGCUAGUUGGUGAGGUAACGGCCCACCAAGGCGACGAUCAGUAGCCGGCCUGAGAGGGUGAACGGCCACAUUGGGACUGAGACACGGCCCAAACUCCUACGGGAGGCAGCAGUGGGGAAUAUUGCACAAUGGGGGAAACCCUGAUGCAAGCGACGCCGCGUGAGUGAAGAAGUAUUUCGGUAUGUAAAGCUCUAUCAGCAGGGAAGAAAAUGACGGUACCUGACUAAGAAGCCCCGGCUAACUACGUGCCAGCCGCAGC
rnacentral:rRNA from 1 species